GAGGUUUUGUAAACUAGUUCCAAUUUUCAAGUAUGUCAUUAGUAUUCAAAGUGUUUUGGAUUUUAUUUAGUCCGAACUUUGUAGUUGCUUUCCAGUUUCUUUCCAUGUCAAGAAAUAGACAAUUUCAUCAAGGAUGUAAUUUAAAAAAAUUUAAAUUAAACAUUUUUAUAGUUUUUAUUGCUCCUAAUUUGCGUUGAUUAUACCUUUUUUACAAAACACUGUCAACAUCAUAGCAUAAACAAAUUCUUACUAAAAUGUGCAUUAUGUUUUUGAUUAUUUAAUCUUUUAGGAAUUUUGAAGCGUGAACUAAGAGAUAUUAGGCCACAUGAUUUUGAAGUUCUCAUCAAGUUACACAAAUUUGCGUAGUUUUCCUUUUGCAUUUUUAUUAGAUUCAUAUUUUGUAAAGUAUGUAUC